rnacentral:rRNA from 1 species
UACAGAGGUCUCAAGCGUUGUUCGGAUUCAUUGGGCGUAAAGGGUGCGUAGGCGGCGAGGUAAGUCGGAUGUGAAAUCCCGGGGCUCAACCCCGGAACUGCAUUCGAUACUGCUUUGCUUGAGUACUGGAGAGGAGACUGGAAUUUACGGUGUAGCAGUGAAAUGCGUAGAUAUCGUGAGGAACACCAGAGGCGAAGGCGGCUACCUGGACAAUCGCUGACGCUCAGGCACGAAAGCGUGGGGAGCAAAAGGG